GAUCGAAUGAGAUGGCAGCUAAAGCCCUCUGUCUGCUGUAGUCUAUUAUUCUUAACCAGGCCCUCGAUCUGGCUCUUCUUCUAGCUUUGUAGCCGGUAACUGUGGAGACUUGGGAGUUUUUUUUUUGAAGUUGUGGCCAUUGCUGAUACGUGUUAAAUUCCAUUGGCAAUUCUUCUCCAUUGGCAACUGCAGAUUAAGUCAGUUGUGGCCUUUGAUCUGCCCCCACUUCGUGGAAGAAAGCUUUGCAUUGCAAUAGUAGGUCGGUGACUGUAACCUUGAUUCCAGUGAAUUUCCUCCGACGCCAUUCCAGUCCCGAGGAUAAGAAGAGAAGGUCAAAUUCUUGCAUCCACAGCAUGCAUGUGACCAAAAUCUUAGGCCACAAGAGAAUUGUCACCAUCUAUAGAGCAGGGAAAAACUUUCCGUUG